rnacentral:rRNA from 1 species
GACCUCGGAUCAGGUAGGAAUACCCGCUGAACUUAAGCAUAUCAAUAAGCGGAGGAAAAGAAACCAACAGGGAUUGCCUCAGUAACGGCGAGUGAAGCGGCAAAAGCUCAAAUUUGAAAUCUGACCCUUCGGGUCCGAGUUGUAAUUUGCAGAGGAUGUUUCGGGUAAGAUUUAGGUCUAAGUACCUUGGAACAGGACGUCAUAGAGGGUGAGAAUCCCGUACGUGACCGUUGAUCGCACCCAUGUGAAACUCCUUCGACGAGUCGAGUUGUUUGGGAAUGCAGCUCAAAAUGGGUGGUAAAUUUCAUCUAAAGCUAAAUAUUGGCCAGAGACCGAUAGCGCACAAGUAGAGUGAUCGAAAGAUGAAAAGCACUUUGAAAAGAGAGUUAAACAGUAUGUGAAAUUGUUGAAAGGGAAGCGCUUGUAACCAG